rnacentral:rRNA from 1 species
AUUGAACGCUGGCGGCAUGCCUUACACUUGCAAGUCGAACGGCAGCACGGGAGCAAUCCUGGUGGCGAGUGGCGAACGGAUGAGUAAUAUAUCGGAACGUGCCCAGUCGUGGGGGAUAACGCAACGAAAGCUGUGCUAAUACCGCAUACGAUCUAUGGAUGAAAGCGGGGGAUCGCAAGACCUCGCGCGAUUGGAGCGGCCGAUAUCAGAUUAGCUAGUUGGUGAGGUAAAGGCUCACCAAGGCGACGAUCUGUAGCUGGUCUGAGAGGACGACCAGCCACACUGGAACUGAGAAACGGUCCAGACUCCUACGGGAGGCAGCAGUGGGGAAUUUUGGACAAUGGGCGAAAGCCUGAUCCAGCAAUGCCGCGCGCAGGAUGAAGGCCUUCGGGUUGUAAACUGCUUUUGUACGGAACGAAACGGUGAGCUCUAAUACAGUUUGCUAAUGACGGUACCGUAAGAAUAAGCACCGGCUAACUACGUGCCAGCAGCCGCGGUAA